UGUAAGCGUAUACCAAAGUUGUUGCAGUUAAAACGCUCGUAGUCGGAAUUUGGCAGUUCCGGAUGUGUGCACGUCGUGUUCGCACUUCGCGGGGAUUGCUUUUGUGGUCUUGCGUAGGAUGAGGCACUUUUAUUAGUGAACGUCCUCACGCAACCACUUUUUACUGUGAGAAAAUCAGAGUGCUCAAAGCAGGCAUUUGCCGUGAAUGUAUUAGCAUGGAAUAAUAGAAUAGGACUUGGUUCUAUUUUGUUGGUUUGUUGGGACUGAGUAAUGAUUAAGAGGGACAGUUGGGGGCAUUUGUAUUUCGGUGCUAGAGGUGAAAUUCUUAGAUUACCGAAAGACAAACUGCUGCGAAAGCGUCUGCCAAGGAUGUUUUCAUUGA
rnacentral:rRNA from 1 species